GGGAUCACUUCGGCAGCCCCGACGCUGAAACGGAACGAUGCAGAGAAGGUUAGCACGGCCCCUGCACACGCAUGACACGCGAAUUCAUGAAGCGUUCCCCUUUUUU
ensembl:snRNA U6 U6 spliceosomal RNA